UCUAAUGGAAGUUCACUUGGAAAUAUCUAUUGAAACUGACCCAGAAAUUCUAUUUGUAAACAUUUCAAAAUGUUGAAAGGCAAGAUAUUAGAAACUACAUUAAUAUAUACAAAUACAAGAUGGGUUAAAUCAAUUAUAGUAUAAUCACAAAAUGGAAAAUUAUGUAGUCAUAGAAAAUAAGGAGGUUGCUUGUUUAUGUAUAAAUAUGAAAACUUUUCUAAGAUUUAGUGCUAAUUAAAGUGAGGUACCAGUGUAUGGAAUAGUAUAUAGAAGAGGAAGAAGUAUACAUAUACCUCUGAAAAAAAAUGUAACAGAAACUAAGAUUAUUUUUUAUCAAGCUCAGGGAAACUGGGUAGAUGAGAAAACAGUGGGAGAAAUAAUUUUCAAUGUUUCCCCUUAUAUAUUUUAAAUUUUCCAUUCUGUGAAAAUAUUACUGGGCAGGAAAGAAUUAACUCAGCAAUCCUGAAUUGUUCAAACCCUGCGGAUUCUGAAGAAAAGCUUGUCUCUAGGACUGGCCCUUUGUGUCUCGCAGUGGGUAACCUCUCAGCUUUUGGAACCAUCUGCCUGAGAAGUGUGAUUCUGUGUAACUAAAGACUUAGACCACACUGCAUUUUAUGGUAAAUAUCUAUGUUUGUAUGCCUAGGGCAUUGUGCCAUGCUCUACCAGUUUGACCAGAGAAAUUUAUCCCAACAAUGUGGGGUAGAGUGGAGGGUUGGGAAACUUGGGGGUGAGAGGAUGGGAGUGGGGAGGAGGAAAGUGAGAAAUGACUGGAGCCUGUGUGAGGUCAAUGCAGGAAAUACAUGCCUGUGUGACUGACUUCUAAUAAAACACCGAACACCCAGUCUUGGGUAACCUUUUGUGGUUGGCAACACUUUGCACAUAUUUUCACAUAUUGUUGGUAAGAGAAUGGAAUGUGCCCCAGGGUGACUUUGCUGGGGAACACCACUGAAAACUUGCACCUGAUUUCUUCUAACCUUUCCCUAUGUGCCUUUUCCCUUUGCUGAUUUGAAACAGUUCCCUUUCAUUGUAUACACCAUAAUCAUAAGUAUAACAAUUUUUCUGAGUCUGUACAUACCUCUAGCAAAUCAUCUGGCCUGAGGAUGGUCUUGGGGAGCCCUAACAAAAUUGUAUAUUCCCAAAAAUCAAAGUAAAACAUUUCAAAGUUAAAUUGCAUUUAUUAGGGUGAAAUGAAUUGGUAAAUAAAAAGAGUUGAUUAAACUCUCUUACUAUAAUCAAAUUCUGUGCUACAUGUGAGAAAUUCUGAGAUACGAAUUUUGUGGGCUAAUGAAAUUCAAGAAGUUUGUGGGCUAAUGAAAAAAAUGAAACAAACUAUCAGGCCUCUGAGCCCAAGCCUGCACGUAUACAUCCAGAUGGCCUGAGGCAACUGAAGAACCACAAAAGAAGUGAAAAUGGCCGAUUCCUGCCUUAGCUGAUGACAUUACCUUGUGAAAUUCCUUCUCCUGGACAGUGAGUCUCAGAAGCCCCCCCACUGAGCACCCUGUGACCCACCCCCCCCGGCCCUGCCUGCCAGAAAACAACCCCCUUUGACUGUAAUUUUCCACUACCUACCCAAAUUCUAUAAUUUGGGAAAUCUGCCAAUCUAUAAUAGGGUAAUCUGCCCCACCCCUAUCUCCCCUCGCUGACUCUCUUUUCGAACUCAGCCCACCUGCACCCAGGUGAUUAAAAUAAAUUUAAAGGAGUUUAACUGAGCAAUGAACAAUUUACAAAUUGGGCAGCUCCCAGAACGCAGCAGAUUCAGAGAAUCCGGAGAUGCCUCGUGGUCAGAACAAAUCUGAAGUGAUGUACAGAAAUCAGAAGUGAAGUCCGGAUCAGCUGGAUUGGUUAUAGGUUGGCAUUUGCCUUAUUUGAACACAGUUGAACAUUCAGCAGCAUAAGAGUGGUUGAAGUAUGGCUGCUGGGAUUGGCCAAGACUCAGCUAUUGUUACAGGUAAAUACUUCUAAAUUAGGUUUUUAAUCUUGUCUACCUAUUAGGUUAGGUUACGGUUUGUCCUUAAGGACACAAAUAUAGAAGUAUGGAGUCCUUCUCAGGCCAUAUUUAGUUCGCUUUAACACUACUAUGCUCGAUUAUUAACCCUACUUGUUUUUCUCCCACUAUCUCUAAAGCACUGCAAGAUAGACAUGUAUAUUUCUGUUUUACAGAUAAGAAAAUUAAAGCUCAGAGCCUGAGUCCAAGAUCAUACAUUUAACUAGUCCAAGAUCAUGCAUUUAACUACUAUAAAAAGAAACAAUAUGACCAUUCAGUACCGCAGGCAUGUGAAUUAUCCAAAU
rnacentral:lncRNA from 1 species